UUGCCACCCAGCACCCUGUUUGAUACGGUGUAGAAGUCUGCCUGGGACGCUAAUGUACAGUGGCAUAAAAGCAGAGAUGGAUGGUCCACCCAGGUGGGGGCAGGGCUGUGCCCGAGGCUGGACCUACUGCCCAGUGGUGCCAGGGAACUUUGGGGGGAUGAUGGAAGCGAUUCUUCUGCAGGGAUGGAAACAUUCUGAUGACAUGGGCACAUAAACAUUUGUCCAAGAUAAUGAAACUGUAUAUUAAAUGGGUCAGUUUUAUUUUAUGUAAAUUAGGUCUCAAUUCAAUUAAUUAAAAAGAUGUUUAAAAAAAUCUGCCUGAGCGGGGAAGCCUCCUCUUGCAUGCCAGGAAACUUGGCGCUGGCACUCUGACUCACCCGCGCAGAGUUUUCCAUGAGUUUUGAUUUUGUGAACUGUGCCCUGUUGUUUUCAAGUUCUCCAGCUGUCAAGCCCCUACUGGCUUAAAAGGGAAUGUUUUGCACUUGUACUCUCCUGUAUGCCGAGGGGCCGGACCACACGUGGACCCUCAUUUCCCUGCCCUACCUUCUAGAUGAGGCCCUGGUUCUUGGGGAGGAAGGAUGGUCCUAGCUGAGGAUUCCAAGCCAAGCUGUGCAGAUGUGAAAAGAUCCUGGGGGCUUAAAAAUCCUGGCAUAAAAUAUAAAAUUCAAGUUUUCUGAAAACGACAACUGGCAGGGGAUCCGGGAAAGCUGGGUGGAUGCCAGAAAGGCAUUCCGUUUCCUUUUGUGAAGACAGGAGACAGAGACGGGAGAGGUGUCAGCGUUCAGGCCGUUUGCUGAGUGUCCGCUGAGCACCUUGUUCCCAGUCCCCACUUUGAUUCAGACGCCCACAGCCUGAAACUGAGCUGUUUCCGCCAUUGGUCUCCACAGAGUGUGGAUAGGUCUCGAUGGCCCGUCUGGGUUAUCCUAGGGCUGUGAUGGGCAUGUCCAGGCCACUCCAUGCCUCUCGCCGGAACCCCAGCGUCCAGUGCUUUGCAGAUGGGAGAUGGAAGGUCAGAGACCUGAGCCUCCAGGGCAACAGGAAGGCCACUGUGGGGAGUCCCUGGAUGGUGAUGUAGGCCUCCAGCCAGGGCCAUCCACCAGCGUGACUGACCUUGGAUGAAAAACUCCAUUCAUGAGCCCCCACUUCCACAGCUGGGGCUGACAGUAUGGGCAGUGUAGCCCUGCAUGGACAGUCAACAGAAAACCUACAUGCAGCUCUUGGCCAGCACCCACUGCCCAU
rnacentral:lncRNA from 1 species